GACGAACGCUGGCGGCGUGCUUAACACAUGCAAGUCGAACGAUGAACCCGGAGCUUGCUCUGGUGAAUUAGUGGCGAACGGGUGAGUAACACGUGAGUAACCUGCCCUUGACUCUGGGAUAACUGCGGGAAACUGUAGCUAAUACCGGAUACGACCCUCGGAGGCAUCUCCUGGGGGUGGAAAGAAUUUCGGUCAAGGAUGGACUCGCGGCCUAUCAGCUAGUUGGUGAGGUAAAGGCUCACCAAGGCGACGACGGGUAGCCGGCCUGAGAGGGUGCCAGGCCACGCUGGGACAGAGACACGGCCGAGACUCCAACGGGAGGCAGCUGUGGGGAAUAUUGCACAGUGGGCGCAAGCCUGAUGCAGCAACGCCGCGUGAGGGAUGACGGCCUUCGGGUUGUAAACCUCUUUUAGUAGGGAGGAAGCGAAAGUGACGGUACCUGCAGAAAAAGCACCGGCUAACUACGUGCCAGCAGCCGCCGUAA
rnacentral:rRNA from 1 species